rnacentral:rRNA from 1 species
CCUACGGGAGGCAGCAGUGGGGAAUAUUGCACAAUGGGGGAAACCCUGAUGCAGCGACGCCGCGUGAGUGAAGAAGUAUUUCGGUACGUAAAGCUCUAUCAGCAGGGAAGAAAAUGACGGUACCUGACUAAGAAGCCCCGGCUAACUACGUGCCAGCAGCCGCGGUAAUACGUAGGGGGCAAGCGUUAUCCGGAUUUACUGGGUGUAAAGGGAGCGUAGACGGCAGCGCAAGUCUGGAGUGAAAUCCCAUGGCUUAACCAUGGAACUGCUUUGGAAACUGUGCAGCUAGAGUGCAGGAGAGGUAAGCGGAAUUCCUAGUGUAGCGGUGAAAUGCGUAGAUAUUAGGAGGAACACCAGUUGCGAAGGCGGCUUACUGGACUGUAACUGACGUUGAGGCUCGAAAGCGUGGGGAGCAAACAGGAUUAGAUACCCCAGUAGUC